rnacentral:rRNA from 1 species
GGCCUGCCCACUGAAGAUUUAAAUGGCCGCGGUAUUUUGACCGUGCAAAGGUAGCAUAAUAAUUAGUUUUUUAAUUGAAAGCUGGAAUGAAAGGUUGGAUGAGAAAAUAGCUGUCUCUAUCUAAAUUAGUUAGAAUUUUAUUUUUAAGUAAAAAAGCUUAAAUAAUAGUAGAAGACGAGAAGACCCUAUAGAGUUUUAAUUUAGUUGGGGUGAUUGAAAAAUUUAAUUAACUUUUUUUAUAUAUGAACAUUAAUAUAUGAGUGAUUGAUCCUUUAUUUAAGAUUAAAAGAAAAAAUUACCUUAGGGAUAACAGCGUAAUUUUUUUAGAGAGUUCAAAUCGAAAAAAAAGAUUGCGACCUCGAUGUUGGAUUAAAAUUAAGUCUUGGUGUAGAAGCUAA